AGCGAACGCUGGCGGCAGGCCUAACACAUGCAAGUCGAACGAACCCUUCGGGGUUAGUGGCGGACGGGUGAGUAACACGUGGGAACGUGCCUUUAGGUUCGGAAUAACUCAGGGAAACUUGUGCUAAUACCGAAUGUGCCCUUCGGGGGAAAGAUUUAUCGCCUUUAGAGCGGCCCGCGUCUGAUUAGCUAGUUGGUGAGGUAAUGGCUCACCAAGGCUACGUUCAGUAGCUGGUCUGAGAGGAUGAUCAGCCACAGUGGGACUGAGACACGGCCCAAACUCCUACGGGAGGCAGCAGUGGGGAAUCUUGCGCAAUGGGCGAAAGCCUGACGCAGCCAUGCCGCGUGAAUGAUGAAGGUCUUAGGAUUGUAAAAUUCUUUCACCGGGGACGAUAAUGACGGUACCCGGAGAAGAAGCCCCGGCUAACUUCGUGCCAGCCGCCGCCGUAACAC
rnacentral:rRNA from 1 species